rnacentral:snRNA from 1 species
AUGCUCUGGUUUCUCUUCAUUAUACGAGCUAAUCUUUCGCCUUUUACUAAAGAUUACCGUGGAGAGGAACAUUACAAUGAGUCUAAACUCAAUUUUUGGAAUCCCACCUUAAAGGUGGGGC